CAAUUUUGCUUUAAAAUUUAGUAAAAAUGUUGUUCAAUAAAACUGCUUCUGAUGGGCGAGACACUGCGUAGCUGCCGUUUACUUCAGUAUCCAGUGCGUUUUUUACAGCUCACCAAGCUGUUUAAAGAUGCCGAAAGCUAUAGAAAUCACACCUAUGAGUUUGCCAAUAUCCAUCCAGGUGACAGAGACUAACUCGAGCCGUGCCCGGGUACACCGACGAACCAACUAAAGAAGCCAACACGCCCUGGAACGACCUAUCACAUCAAAGGCUUGGCAGUAAUCCCAAGAAGUAUUCGUGUUGGCCGGGGGGCAACUUGCUCAGUGAAUAACAUCCAGUAUUGGGGUGCAGCAAGAGUGUAACAAAUGACUGUGUUAUCGUUGUACUGCGUCAGGACUCCGAGGGGUGUGCUGUGUUUCUUUGCAGGGCAGGCGGCGCUGGAUUCAGGCUCUGGGUUCGAGUGGGAGGAGCGCGAUCUGACCUUUUCACCUGCCGGCAGCGUCAUUGGAAUGUUCAGAGCAACCUCAAGGGAAAUACAUUGACAACACUGGAGUGAGAUCGGCAUUGAGACAGAGCAGCAAUCGUCAAAGACGGCAUUGUAUCUAAUAUAAACGCUUGACAUUGAGUACCUGUGUAUAUUGUCGGGCCAGGGCACUAAGACAACUGCAAUUUUGAUGUGCUUGGCAGGUAGUGAAAUUGUUUGGGCGCAUUACCAGGGAAUUACGGCAGGGGGCGCACCAUACUUACGAAUUGCAUAUUUUUGUAUUUCUGUUUAGAGAAGUACAAGAAAUAUUUCCAGGUUUUAAAAAAAAAAGCUGGAUCAUGGGUUUUUAGGAGGGUGGGCAGGUAGAUGUUGGAAUUUAACACUACUCUCUGGGUUUGGUAAG